rnacentral:rRNA from 1 species
UACGUAGGGUGCAAGCGUUGUCCGGAAUUAUUGGGCGUAAAGAGCUCGUAGGCGGUCUGUCGCGUCGGCUGUGAAAACCUGGGGCUCAACUCCGGGCCUGCAGCCGAUACGGGCAGACUAGAAUUCGGUAGGGGAGACUGGAAUUCCUGGUGUAGCGGUGAAAUGCGCAGAUAUCAGGAGGAACACCGGUGGCGAAGGCGGGUCUCUGGGCCGAUAUUGACGCCGAGGAGCGAAAGCGUGGGGAGCGAACAGG